rnacentral:rRNA from 1 species
AAUCCAUAGGUUAAUGAGGCGAACCGGGGGAACUGAAACAUCUAAGUACCCCGAGGAAAAGAAAUCAACCGAGAUUCCCCCAGUAGCGGCGAGCGAACGGGGAGGAGCCCAGAGCCUGAAUCAGCAUGUGUGUUAGUGGAAGCGUCUGGAAAGGCGCGCGAUACAGGGUGACAGCCCCGUACACAAAAGCGCAUGUGCUGUGAGCUCGAUGAGUAGGGCGGGACACGUGGUAUCCUGUCUGAAUAUGGGGGGACCAUCCUCCAAGGCUAAAUACUCCUGACUGACCGAUAGUGAACCAGUACCGUGAGGGAAAGGCGAAAAGAACCCCGGCGAGGGGAGUGAAAAAGAACCUGAAACCGUGUACGUACAAGCAGUGGGAGCACAGGUUUACCUGUGUGACUGCGUACCUUUUGUAUAAUGGGUCAGCGACUUAUAUUCUGUAGCAAGGUUAACCGAAUAGGGGAGCCGGAGGGAAACCGAGUCUUAAUUGGGCGUUAAGUUGCAGGGUAUAGACCCGAAACCCGGUGAUCUAGCCAUGGGCAGGUUGAAGGUUGGGUAACACUAACUGGAGGACCGAACCGACUAAUGUUGAAAAAUUAGCGGAUGACCUGUGGCUGGGGGUGAAAGGCCAAUCAAACCGGGAGAUAGCUGGUUCUCCCCGAAAGCUAUUUAGGUAGCGCCUCGUGAAUUCAUCUCCGGGGGUAGAGCACUGUUUCGGCUAGGGGGCCAUCCCGGCUUACCAACCCGAUGCAAACUGCGAAUACCGGAGAAUGUUAUCACGGGAGACACACGGCGGGUGCUAACGUCCGUCGUGAAGAGGGAAACAACCCAGACCGCCAGCUAAGGUCCCAAAGUCAUGGUUAAGUGGGAAACGAUGUGGGAAGGCCCAGACAGCCAGGAUGUUGGCUUAGAAGCAGCCAUCAUUUAAAGAAAGCGUAAUAGCUCACUGGUCGAGUCGGCCUGCGCGGAAGAUGUAACGGGGCUAAACCAUGCACCGAAGCUGCGGCAGCGACACUGUGUGUUGUUGGGUAGGGGAGCGUUCUGUAAGCCUGUGAAGG